rnacentral:lncRNA from 1 species
AGUGGAGUGUUACAGUAGCAUACAUUUAUAUCAUUCAUGAGUAAAUAUUUUCCUUCCAUAGUGAUUAACGAAACUCCUCACAGGAUUAAAAAUGUUUGUAUGGGCAACGAAGAAGGGGCUAAGGAAGAAGACACGGUGAGAGACGUAAUGGAUUGAGCAAGCCUUCCGAAAAUUCCCACAGAGAGCUGCUCCAGCUUGGUCAUCAACUUGGUCAUCAACGCCCAGAAAAAAAGACGAAGGCGAAGACGAGACAAAAUACACAGAGUCACAGAGAUGACAUGAGAGAGAAUAAGUUGAGGAGAAAAAAAAUUUGAGGAGAAGCAAGAAAGAGAAGGAGUGAAGGCGACGCCUGCCAGAAAUGGUGUUGCUAGAGUCGAGAAUAAUUUAAAGACGAAAUGUUUAUAACUUGUUUUACACAUGUCUCGACCAAGGAGGAUGUUAUAC